rnacentral:rRNA from 1 species
UACGGGGGGUGCAAGCGUUGUCCGGAAUCAUUGGGCGUAAAGAGUUCGUAGGCGGCACGUAAAGUCAGGUGUUAAAGGCUAAGGCUUAACCUUAGUAUGGCACUUGAUACUUGCGAGCUAGAAUGCGGUAGAGGUAAAGGGAAUUCCUGGUGUAGCGGUGAAAUGCUUAGAUAUCAGGAGGAACAUCGGUGGCGUAAGCGCUUUACUGGGCCGUGAUUGACGCUGAGGAACGAAAGCCAG